CCUACGGGUGGCAGCAGUGAGGAAUAUUGGUCAAUGGACGAGAGUCUGAACCAGCCAAGUAGCGUGAAGGAUGACUGCCCUAUGGGUUGUAAACUUCUUUUAUAUGGGAAUAAAACGUUCCACGUGUGGGAUUUUGUAUGUACCAUAUGAAUAAGGAUCGGCUAACUCCGUGCCAGCAGCCGCGGUAAUACGGAGGAUCCGAGCGUUAUCCGGAUUUAUUGGGUUUAAAGGGAGCGUAGGUGGAUUGUUAAGUCAGUUGUGAAAGUUUGCGGCUCAACCGUAAAAUUGCAGUUGAAACUGGCAGUCUUGAGUACAGUAGAGGUGGGCGGAAUUCGUGGUGUAGCGGUGAAAUGCUUAGAUAUCACGAAGAACUCCGAUUGCGAAGGCAGUUCACUGGACUGCAACUGACACUGAGGCUCGAAAGUGUGGGUAUCAAACAGGAUUAGAUACCCCUGUAGUU
rnacentral:rRNA from 1 species